UCGAAAUCAGUAUAAACUCGAAGCCCUGAAACAGUCGUUCGAGAAUUCUGCACGCGGACUGCCUGGUCUACGAGCGUUCCGUCAAACGCCCACGCGUUCUACGUGUGUCCAUCUGAGAUGACCAAGUCGCGUUCCUCGUGAAAACGACAGUUGGAGAACUUGCGAAUUACGAUCGACCUCUCUAACCGUGGUAAACGUAAUCGUCCGAGCAUUUUCGCGCCGGAAAUCGAGGCACGGAAUUUCCACGUCGUACCACUCUCUCGCGUUUUCGACAAGAUCGUCGUUUUGUCGAAAGCAAGUUGCACGCGAGUAGACUGCGAAUUCGCCGCCGUUGGCUGCUAACGAAUACGCUAGUACGAAGUUGGAACAAUAUAAUUCUUUAAAUUGCGAUUGAAAAUUGUUAAAUAUAAAGGUGGAGACACGCCUACCCUCCACGUACAGUUUCCAGGAUACUGAAGUUUAAUAUGAGUAAGAGGAAAAAGAAGAUGAGAGAGGAAAAAGGACAGAUGGUCCCUCUAGAAAAUUGGACGCAGUCCAGAGGAAACGCUGAACAAGAGGAAAAUGUAACGCAAUAUACAAUGUAAUGAAUGGUACACCCAGUGUGUCGUUAAAAUAAUGUACACUCUUAACCCGUAUCUCUUUUAUAAAUACAGUAAUGCAACCUAGGUAUCUCGAUUAGCAA